GCAUAUCAAUAAGCGGAGGAAAAGAAACCAACAGGGAUUGCCCCAGUAACGGCGAGUGAAGCGGCAACAGCUCAAAUUUGAAAUCUGGCCCCCAGGGCCCGAGUUGUAAUUUGCAGAGGAUGCUUUUGGCGCGGCGCCUUCCGAGUUCCCUGGAACGGGACGCCAUAGAGGGUGAGAGCCCCGUCUGGUCGGACGCCAAGCCAGUGUAAAGCUCCUUCGACGAGUCGAGUAGUUUGGGAAUGCUGCUCUAAAUGGGAGGUAUAUGUCUUCUAAAGCUAAAUAUAGGCCAGAGACCGAUAGCGCACAAGUAGAGUGAUCGAAAGAUGAAAAGCACUUUGAAAAGAGGGUUAAACAGUACGUGAAAUUGUUGAAAGGGAAGCACUUGUGACCAGACUUGGGCCCGGUGAAUCAUCCAGCGUUCUCGCUGGUGCACUUCGCCGGGCCCAGGCCAGCAUCAGUUCGCCGCGGGGGAUAAAAGCUUCGGGAACGUAGCUCCCUCGGGAGUGUUAUAGCCCGUUGCAUAAUACCCUGCGGUGGACUGAGGUUCGCGCUCCGCAAGGAUGCUGGCGUAAUGUCACCAGUGUGGG
rnacentral:rRNA from 1 species